GACGAACGUUGGCGGCGUGCUUAAUACAUGCAAGUCAACUGAAGCAGUGGUAGCAAUAUCGCUGUGGAGGUGGCGCACGGGUGAGUAACACGUAGGUAAUCUGCCUUCAGGUCUGGCAUAACUCCGGGAAACCGGGGCUAAUAGCAGAUGAUGCAGCGGCUCGACAUCGAGACAGUUGUUAAAGCUAUGGCGCCUGAAGAUGAGCCUGCGUCUGAUUAGCUAGUUGGCGGGGUAACGGCCCACCAAGGCAACGAUCAGUAGCUGGUCUGAGAGGAUGAUCAGCCACACUGGAACUGAGACACGGCCCAGACUCCUACGGGAGGCAGCAGUAAGGAAUAUUGCUCAAUGGGAGAAAUCCUGAAGCAGCAACGCCGCGUGAGGGACGAAGGGCUUUGGCUUGUAAACCUCUGUAGUGAGAGAAAAAAAUCCCAAUCUUUGGGACAUGAUGGUAUCUCAAAAGUAAGCCCCGGCUAACUACGUG
rnacentral:rRNA from 1 species